rnacentral:rRNA from 1 species
GAUGAACGCUGGCGGCGUGCCUAAUACAUGCAAGUCGAGCGAACGGACGCGAAGCUUGCUUUUCUGAUGUUAGCGGCGGAAGGGUGAGUAACACGUGGAUAACCUACCUAUAAAACUGGGAUAACUUCGGGAAACCGGAGCUAAUACCGGAUAAUAUUUUGAACCGCAUGGUUCAAAAGUGAAAGACGGUCUUGCUGUCACUUAUAGAUGGAUCCGCGCUGCAUUAGCUAGUUGGUAAGGUAACGGCUUACCAAGGCAACGAUGCAUAGCCGACCUGAGAGGGUGAUCGGCCACACUGGAACUGAGACACGGUCCAGACUCCUACGGGAGGCAGCAGUAGGGAAUCUUCCGCAAUGGGCGAAAGCCUGACGGAGCAACGCCGCGUGAGUGAUGAAGGUCUUCGGAUCGUAAAACUCUGUUAUUAGGGAAGAACAUAUGUGUAAGUAACUGUGCACAUCUUGACGGUACCUAAUCAGAAAGCCACGGCUAACUACGUG